rnacentral:misc_RNA from 1 species
CUCAACCAUGACCCUGCA